ACCCGCUGAACUUAAGCAUAUCAAUAAGCGGAGGAAAAGAAACCAACCGGGAUUGCCUUAGUAACGGCGAGUGAAGCGGCAAAAGCUCAAAUUUGAAAUCUGGUACCUUUCGGUGCCCGAGUUGUAAUUUGGAGAGAGUGAUUCUGGGACUGGCCCUUGCCUAUGUUCCUUGGAACAGGACGUCAUAGAGGGUGAGAACCCCGUGAGGCGAGGUGAUCCAAUUCUUUGUAGAGCGCUCUCGAAGAGUCGAGUUGUUUGGGAAUGCAGCUCUAAGAGGGUGGUAAAUUCCAUCUAAAGCUAAAUACAGGCGAGAGACCGAUAGCGAACAAGUACAGUGAUGGAAAGAUGAAAAGAACUUUGAAAAGAGAGUGAAAAAGGACAUGAAAUUGUUGAAAGGGAAGGGCAUUUGAUCAGACAUGGUGUUUUGUGCCCCUCGCUCCUCGUGGGUGGGGGAAUCUCGCAGCUCACUGGGCCAACAUCAUUUUUGGCGGCAGGAAAAAUCCUCCGGAAUGUGGCCCCUUGCCCCGGGGUAAGGAGUGUUAAAAGCCCCGGGGGGAGUACUGCCCAACUGGAACGGGGGUUUCCCGACAUUUUAAUCGAGGAAUUUGGGCGU
rnacentral:rRNA from 1 species